AUCUUGCUGGAGAUCUCUGCCUGCCUGAGGCCUUUGGAAGAAAGACGGAAGAAAGUCUCUUUUGUGCAGCCUGAAUUGCCUUGCACAGCACACACCGAAACCCCAGGCUGAGGUGCAGCAAGGGCAGCCCCAGCAAUUUGCGAGCACGCAGAGACAGACCGAGCUAUGCUUCCUUUUCAUUACCCAGAGGAAGAGGCAGAAGGAACAGCAGGGAUGCAGAGGGGAACCUCCUUGGAGAACAGGAGGAGUGAUUGCUGCAGGGGUUUUGCAGCAGGAGGACCUGGAAGGCAAUGGCUGCAUCACCCCACAAAGCUCUCGCAGUGCUGGUGGGAAAACUGAGGCACAGGGCAGCGUGGCUGGGAGCCUUCAGCAGCACAACAGCUCCAGGGGACCCUUAGGGGAAACAAACCUGGGCUGCACAGCCCCAAAAGCCUCAGGUUUAAGAGGAAACACAUUUCUCUCAAUGGUUUUCACUUAAAAAAAAAAAGGAAAACAAAAGUCAAAGUGAGGACAAAUGUUUCCAAAGGUCACAAGAAAACACAGAACCUCAAAAUAGAAAAGCAGUGGCUGAGGGCUAUCAGAGCAAUCUGUUCGAUGGGCCUCCAACAAAGCACUUCUGAAUUCAGCAGUUGCGGAGGGGUUUUCAGAAGGAUUGGUUAACAUCCCCCAAAGGAGACAAUGUUUUUAUUCCAAAAUUGCCAGCAAACCAAAAAAUUUCAUUUUCCUCCAUCUCUAUUUGUAAGUGAAUAUUCACUGGGAUAUUUGAUAGCUGUAAUUUACUCUUCGAGCUGUGUAAUUAGCCACCUCAAUCAAAUGGCAUCAUUUCUAUCUUUGCUCAAUGAAGAACCGCUCCACUGCAAACCAGACCUGAGCGCAGCACAGGGCUGGGACCACUGCCCACAGCCAACACUGCCUUCCUCUCGAGGCUCAGCCUUGUUUGGGGAUGGAAAGCCUCUGGAAUUAAAAGGUGGGGCAGAACAGUGAGGCAUGGGUCACACGGAGGGGUAGGAGGUAGGAACUUGGCGGGGGAGGUGGGUUUUGGUGGAUUUUCUCUUACUUGAGGCAAUUUGGGACAUGGGAGAAGACAGGGAUGGAGGUGCAGGGGUAUACCCAGAGGUUCUCCUUUUUGGCAUCUGUGAGCAUCGCAGAACCAUCACUGUGCAGUUAUUCAGUUUUAUGGACCUUCAAUCAAACAAAGAGAGGUUUUCCCAGGGCGGAGAGGAGCCGCUGAUUCAUUCAGCUUUUGUGCCAUUUAUUUCUGGGCACAACCCCUGCAGCAGGGGAGGCAAAGCGCAUGGCCAAGGCUGCAGGGACCCCACUCCCUUCUUUUGCUGGAGCUCUUACACUGAAUGCUGCCUUCAGAGCCCCAGCCCUCGUCUCCUUGCUGGCACACUUGAAAGAGAGAACUUUUCUUUCCCGUUCUCCUAUAGCAAUAACAAUCCCUUGUUAACACAAUAAAAUUAAUCCUUGUGCU
ensembl:lncRNA